rnacentral:rRNA from 1 species
AACGUAGGGGGCGAGCGUUAUCCGGAAUCACUGGGCGUAAAGGGCGUCUAGGCGGCACGUCAAGUCUUGCGUGAAAGCUCCUGGCUCAACUAGGAGAGUGCGUGGGAAACUGGCGAGCUAGAGACGUGGGAGGGGUGCACGGAAUUCCCGGUGGAGUGGUGGAAUGCGUUGAGAUCGGGAGGAACACCAGAAGCGAAGGCGGUGCACUGGCCACGGACUGACGCUGAAGCGCGACAGGCGUGGGGAGCGAACGGG